GACGAACGCUGGCGGCGUGCCUAAUACAUGCAAGUCGAACGAGAGCGACCGGUUCUUGCACUGGGCAAUCUAGUGGCGCACGGGUGAGUAACACGUGUGUAACCUGCUCAUCAGAGGGGUAUAACAUGCGGAAACGGAUUCUAAAACCGCAUAGGUCUUCGAACCGCAUGGUUGGUAGAGGAAAAGAGGCGCAUGCUGCUGCUGAUGGAUGUACCCGCGGUGCUGGAGGUAGUUGGUGUGGUAACGGCUCUCCAAGGCCGUGAUGCAGAGCCGACGUCAGGGGGUGAUAGGCCACAUUGGGACUGAGACACGGACAUAACUCCUACGGGACGCAGCAGUAGGGAAUCUUACGCAAUGGACGCAAGUAUGACGGAGCAACGCCGCGUGAGUGAAGACGGUUUUCGGAUCGUAAAACUCUGUUGUUAGAGAAGAACAAGUGCUAGCGUAAAUGUUAGCGCAUUGACGGUAUCUAACAAGAAAGCCACGGCUAACUACGUG
rnacentral:rRNA from 1 species